AUUGAACGCUGGCGGCAGGCCUAACACAUGCAAGUCGAGCGGAUGAAGGGAGCUUGCUCCUGGAUUCAGCGGCGGACGGGUGAGUAAUGCCUAGGAAUCUGCCUGGCAGUGGGGGAUAACGUCCGGAAACGGGCGCUAAUACCGCAUACGUCCUGAGGGAGAAAGUGGGGGAUCUUCGGACCUCACGCUAUCAGAUGAGCCUAGGUCGGAUUAGCUAGUUGGUGGGGUAAAGGCCUACCAAGGCGACGAUCCGUAACUGGUCUGAGAGGAUGAUCAGUCACACUGGAAGGGAGACACGGUCCAGACUCCUACGGGAGGCAGCAGUGGGGAAUAUUGGACAAUGGGCGAAAGCCUGAUCCAGCCAUGCCGCGGGUGGGAAGAAGGUCUUCGGAUUGUAAAGCACUUUAAGUUGGGAGGAAGGGCAGUAAGUUAAUACCUGGCUGGGUUGACGUUACCAACAGAAGAAGCACCGGCUAACUACGUG
rnacentral:rRNA from 1 species